UCUGAAUGUCAACGUGAAGAAAUUCAAGCAAGCGCGGGUAAACGGCGGGAGUAACUAUGACUCUCUUAAGGGGGGAGUAACUAUGACUCUCUUAAGGGAGUAAGUAUGA
rnacentral:ncRNA from 1 species